rnacentral:lncRNA from 1 species
CCUUCCCUUUAAUUUGGCCUUGAAUGCCAAAGCCUUGGCAACAAGGGGCAGCACUCCUUUUCCCUUUCUUGGCUCUCCUAUGCAUGGCCAGACUGCCGGCACUUCGGCUGUGCCACCACCAUUGGCCACCGCCGACCCCACCCCUCCUCCCAUCUGGUCCCCUAAAGGAGUCCCAGUGAAACCCAUAGAUCGGCAUGUGAAGAGAGGAAGAAAGAAAAGAAAGAAGAAGAAGAAGGAGAGAGAGAGAAGAGAGAGAGAGAGAGAGAGAGAGAGAGAGAGAGAGAGAGAGAGAGAGAGAGAG